GAAAACAAUAUUAUACAAUUACUGUCUUUUGAUGAGGUAAAUGUGUAGUUUUAUUGACUUUUGAAAAACUGAUAUUCACUGAGGCCAACGGCCGAAGUGAAUAUCAGUUUUUCAAAAGUCAAUUAAACCACAUAUUCACCGAAACAAAAGACAGUAAUUGUUUUAUUCCAUAUUCCGAGAGAAAUGUAUGUAAUGGCAAUUAUUAACCAAAACCAAUUGUACAUCAAUCGUUUUUUUUACCAAAAUAGUGCAGGUAAAAGCACGCGACGUUAUGCGCGGUGAAUAUCCUUUUCCGCAGGUGAAUAUGCUUAUUUAUUCAAAAUCCCAUUCAUAUAGAAAAACCUACUAAAGUUU
rnacentral:lncRNA from 1 species